CCUACGGGCGGCUGCAGUGGGGAAUAUUGGACAAUGGGCGAAAGCCUGAUCCAGCCAUGCCGCGUGUGUGAAGAAGGCCUUCGGGUUGUAAAGCACUUUCAGUGGGGAAGAAAGCCUUGGGGCUAAUACCCUCGAGGAAGGACAUCACCCACAGAAGAAGCACCGGCUACUCCGUGCCAGCAGCCGCGGUAAUACGGAGGGUGCGAGCGUUAAUCGGAAUUACUGGGCGUAAAGCGCGCGUAGGCGGUCUGAUAAGCCGGUUGUGAAAGCCCCGGGCUCAACCUGGGAACGGCAUCCGGAACUGUCAGGCUAGAGUGCAGGAGAGGAAGGUAGAAUUCCCGGUGUAGCGGUGAAAUGCGUAGAGAUCGGGAGGAAUACCAGUGGCGAAGGCGGCCUUCUGGACUGACACUGACGCUGAGGUGCGAAAGCGUGGGUAGCAAACAGGAUUAGAUACCCCAGUAGUC
rnacentral:rRNA from 1 species